GGUAAAUCAGGGAGGGAUCUGGACCCUGGUCAGAUGGGGGAUUUGACCCAUUCACCAUCAUGCCUGGCCUGUGAGGAAGACGAGAUCCCUGGGAGCCAGGCC